rnacentral:lncRNA from 1 species
AAUGAAAUGAGUCCACGUCGAACUAAAAAUAUUGCGUCGUGUUAGUUAAAAACGACGUAGUUAAAUGUCACCGCCGUAUUUUUUUUUUGAAAUGGUUUUAUAUGUAAGCAACUUUUCGACUUACAUAUGCACUGUUUCCAAACCCGAUUAAAAAUCUCAAUCUCCCAGAGAAACCUUUUCGUCUUUUUUCCUUGUCAGAGCAUUGUCAGAGUUUCUCAUCGUCU